GUAUAAUCGCCCCGUUUUGGUGCCCGCGCGUCUGUCCAGAUGCGCAGUUAAACGGGAAACAUGAAGCUGGCCACGCCAGCCCACAUGUGCUGCCCCCGCAACGGUAAACAAGCGUCGUCGUUGACGACAAAUCCGCCUCUUCAGACCACUGUGCCCGCGCAUGGGAAGGUCAGGCGGUGUCGCUUGUCAGCCCGGAUACCGGCCAAGACAGGUGGAAAUGC
rnacentral:ncRNA from 2 species